rnacentral:lncRNA from 1 species
AAAAAUGUUGUUCCUUUGUUUUCCUCUUAUCAUGACACUUUAUUAGCUUCUUUCUAAUAUUUUUUUCUCUUAUUUUCAUUAAAAUAAAUACUUAAGCAAGAAGUGAGAUUUUUAAAAAAUAAAAUUCUAAGAAAUUUAAAUUAUCUUUGAAGAUGCUUGAAAAUAUUCUGUCAUAUUUUGUAUCUGUUUUCACAGUUUGGAAGAUAUAUCUAAGAAAAAACAACUAAGACAAUUUAACACGACUGUAUUUGGAGAAAAAGUCCUUAAAGAGGCAAACUUAAAUAAGGCCAUCAGAGUGGGUCAUAGUCCAGUCAGACUGGGGUUCCUACAUGACAAGAUUAGGACACAAAGAGAGACACUGGGGACGCCCUUGAAGAGGGGAAAGACCAUGAGAAGACACAGCAAGAUGAUGGUUAUGUGCAAGCCAAGAAGCCAGGCCUCAGGAGAAACCAAACCUACAAGUAUGUUGAGCUUGAACUUCUAGCCACUACAGCUGUGAGAAAUAAAUAUCUGUUGUUUAAAUUGCCCAAUACUUUGUAUGGCAAGCCUAGCUCAUACAGAUAUAUUUUUUCUUUUAACACAGUAACUAAGACUACAAAUUCAUGAUAACUUUACAGGUGUAAUUCCAAGAUUCUCCACCCCUAACAGGCUAUUAAAAGAAUUGUAACAUAGGAUGAUGUUAAAGUAAUUCUCAUACAUUCACGAUAAUGUAUUCUUCCAUAUAAUGGGGGGUUAUUAGAUCAAGUUCUAAAGGUAAAUAUUUCCUUAGCAAUGUUGAAUGUCUUAUCUAUUGUUUCUUUUAUUAAGAUUUGUUUUCUGUAUCUCGCAGGAACAUUGUUGUUCUAGAUUUUAUAUUCAGGAUAUUGUAUUUCUGAAGCAAAAUGAUACGAAAUAUUGCCAAACAAAAUAAAAUAUAAAGAGUACUUGAACAGUAUUAUAAGAGAUAAGAUAAAGAAAGGCUACUGUUUAAAGUAGCCAAUAUUUUAAGAUAUAAUUCAGGUCCUAAAUGUUUUAUAUUACUCUCAGCAUAAAUACAUUGUCUAAACAUUUGCUUCAGGUUAAAUAUAAUUAUACAUGUUAAGUCUUUCUUGUUUAGAAACAUUAUCUCAUAUAAUUAACCAAAAUUUUACACUAAAAUUUGUAGCAUCUGUAAUAACGUUCUUCAGCAAAUUCCAUGAGGAUGGGAAUGUACUUCCAUUACUUCCCUCAGUUGUUAAGUAAACUCUUUUAGAAGAGUAAAGAAAGUGAAAAAAAAUUAUUCAUUGUGUCUGCCUAAUGAAGAAAAUUUAGUACAUUUUAUUUCACAUGUAUAACUGUUUCUUCACAGCAAAGGCAUUAUGGCUGAAAUUUUUUUUUACUUGAUAGGCAGUUUUAUUAGUUUUCAUGUAUAUAGGUAAGUGACCUGUCCUUUGUUUAAAUUGAUUUUGUUCAGAAAAAAGAAUUUCAUUCAUCUGGAUUUGCAAUGGUGGUAAAAUGAGAAAAAGUGUCCUAUAGAUUACCACAUUUUAAAUAUUUUACCUUGAAUCGUAAACACUUCACUCUAGUAGGUACUUUAGAACUCAGUUGUUAUUUGUCCUCUGAAUAUGAUAUACCUUUAUAUGAGAAACAGACUCCUAACUAUGUUUAUUUUUCAGUUUUUUUUUCUUUAAUAUCUCCUUGGAAAUAACCACAAUAAUCUGCCAUUCUAAAUAUUCACGAUCCUUCCAGUCAACAGUCACUCUUUAGGUUUAACCUUUGCUACUGGACAAAUAUUUCUUUUUGCUUAAUUGUGAUUAAUUAAGUGAUGAUAACUUCAAUUUCAAAUUGAAAUUUGACACCAAAUCAUUUUUUUUUCUUAUGGGUCUUUCCUUGGGUUCUGCAAAAUACUCUGCAACAGUCCUUCUAUUGGUCAGGCUCUCUCAGACAAUAUCCAGGCAUUUACAGAAGUUUGAAGAACAUGUUAACAUCAAUAUUAAAAACAGCAGGAGGCAGCUGAAUGCCUAGGCAGACAGGGAUGAGUCCCCAGUGAAACUCCACCUUCAAGCCAAAGUAGCCUAAAACCCACGGCCCAAAGUGAAAACUUCUAUUCCUGUUGCCUGCUUUCUCUGGAUUGGUUCUUUCUGAAUAAUGUCUUUUGACCAGUUGAAUGUUGCCUUUUCCAAAAAUACCUACAGCCUGCCCUGUCCCCAUCCUGUGCCUUUAAAUUCCCCAUACUCAGUUAGUAGAGUGGGCAGACAGUUGGACUUUGGGGAAGAGAGUUAGCUUGACUUUGGGGAAUAGACAACUGGACUUUGAGGAGAAGAUGACCUCACUUCAAGAAAGACUACCUGCCCUUCCCAUUCACUCUCCAGCUCCCCUCUCCACUGAGAGCCAUUUCCACUGCUCAGUAUGAUUCUCUGCCUUCACAAUUCUUCAAGUCCCUAUGUGAUCUCAUUCUUCUUGAACAAGGACAAGAGCUCAGGAUCCAAUAAGUGUGGGUACCCAGAAAGGCAGUCCCACCAGCCCUUUGCCCUCACCAAUGGAAGGCAGUCACCCCAUGUCACAAGGCAAGGGGCCAACUGAGCUGUUAACACACAGCCGUCGGAAGACAACGGAAUUAAAGGAGCAAUGUAACGUCCCUUUGCUGUUCUCAUGAGAGUGAAUGAUUUCUCAGGAGAUACAGUUGUUUAGAAGUGUGCGUAUGUUUAUUGCAGCAUUAUUCACAAUAGCAAAGACUUGGAACC